AAUCAAACUGGAGGAGGUUGCAAUUCUGCAUUACACUUACAAAAAAUUCUCAAACCUAACCUCAAGAAGGGAUAGAUGUGGCUGCAAACCAACUAAAGAAGAUGUGAAGCAAUGUUUUAUCUUGGAAUUUGACCAUUUGGUACCGGGAACAUGUUGCAUGGACCGAUAGAGACACCAACUUGAAACUUUUAAGGAAGGAUGUAUUAACACAUAUAUAUGUGCCCAUGGCAUUCAUCGGUGGCCUCAAGGAAUCCGGU